GACAGAGGUGCCAAGCGUUAGGCGGAAUCACUGGGCUUAAAGCGUGUGUAGGCGGAUGUCUAAGUACCUUGUGAAAUCCCACGGCUCAACCGUGGAACUGCUUGGUAUACUGGAUGUCUUGAGCCAUCUAGGGGCUACCGGAACAAAUGGUGGAGCGGUGAAAUGCGUAGAUAUCAUGUGGAACGCCAAUGGUGAAAACAGGUAGCUGGGGAUGUGCUGACGCUGAGACACGAAAGCCAGGGGAGCAAACGGG
rnacentral:rRNA from 1 species